rnacentral:lncRNA from 1 species
UAAAUAAUAAUAAUAUAAUUUAAAAUAAUAUUAGUAUUAUAUUUAAUAUUCUACUAAAAAUAAUACACUAAAUAAAAAUACUAUUACAAAAUUAACAUUAAUUAGCCAUUACAAAGGUAAAAACUGAAGGAAUCUUAAUAUCUAAAAGCACGCUAUAAAAGAAUGUGGUCCAAAAGUGUUAUGUACAUUCCUUGCAUAGUAAAGAAAAGUUAUUCUUUAGAAUUGUGAGUCUUUUUUAUAUCACAGACAGUAAGAAGAUUGUACAAAAUGAAGCAAUUUUUAUCCCAUUUCUAUAUAAAAUACUAAACCUUUUAUUUCAAUAUCAUAAAUUUUGAUAAAUUUUAUAGUGAAUCUUUAAAAAACUUUCAGGGGCAUUUUUAACAACUUUUUACUUAAUUUGUCAAUUCUUUAAAAAAAAACCAUUUUUUAAAGAGAAUCUAACAUAAAUUUGGGUGACAAUGCUAUUCAUGUCAUUUACAAAAGAAAAUGCAUUCUACUCCCUAUUUUCCUCUUUUACCUUUUCUUUUUAUUGAUUAAUCUAAAUAUAAACCAACUAGAGGAAUUAUCUCAACAUUAACCUUUAUCACAAACUUUAAAAUUGUUUUUUGUCACAAUCUCUCCUAAUCACAAAAUUCUUUAAGAAGAGUUGAUAAUAAUACAUGUCUUUGCUAUGCAAGCUAAACUCUCAAUCACACCACUACCAAAUGAAGGUUGGUAAUUCUAAUCCUGCCACCAUAUGCGAAUUGGGCAAACUAGUUCAAUUUAAAAUAUAUAAUUCAGGUUAAUGUUCACUUAGUAGAAAAAUCAGAUUAAACAAAAACUUAUCACUAGCCAAACUGCAAUCUUGAAAGUAAAAUCACACCAUUCUAACAAGAACACUCUUUUUUUCUUUUCUUUUUCUGUGAAUCCCCAGCUUACACGACCACUUCACAAUUGUCAUCACUCAAUUGCGAAAUGGUGAGAAUAGAUUAUCAAGGACAACAAAGCUACCCACAAAUCUGCAAUGAAGAAUGGGCGAUGGAUGAUCGGAGCAUCCUCACUGACCAGAGGACUUGCAGAUGGCGUUGACAAGAGAUUCGUAGGAGCCACCUAACAAUUCUCCUGCGACAACCCAAGAGAAGAAGCAGAAGAAGAUGAAGAAGACGACCGAAGCACGAAAAAAGGCUCUGCAUCGACGGAAGCACAGUCGCAAAAAAAACCCUCAUCCGGGGCAGCAUUCGGGGCGGAAUUUGUAGGGUUUCCGCCCUCGCAGAAGAGACUGAAAUGGGUUUCCUCCAAAAUCUUAACACGCCUGCUCUUCGUCGCCAAUUUUCCUCGCCAACCAACAAACGGCGUUAAAAUUCCCAUUUUCUAGUCCAAUGCUCCACCGAC